AAUGAACGUUGGCGGCGUGGAUUAGGCAUGCAAGUCGAGCGUGAUCAGUUUGGUGCUUGCAUUAAACUGUGAAAGCGGCGAAAGGGACAGUAACGCGUAGUUACCUGCCUCAGGGUUCAGAAUAGCUACGGGAAACUGUGGGUAAUGCGGAAUAACAUCUCCGGAUCAAAGGCGGGAUUCCGCCCUGAGAGGGGACUGCGUCCUACUAGUUUGUUGGUGGGUUAAUGGCCUACCAGGACUUUGAUGGGUAGCGGGUGUGAGAGCAUGACCCGGCUCACUGGGACUGAGACACUGCCCAGACACCUACGGGUGGCUGCAGUCGAGAAUCGUCGGCAAUGCGCGCAAGCGUGACCGAGCGACGCCGCGUGCGGGAUGAAGGCCUUCGGGUUGUAAACCGCUGUCGUAGGGGAGGAAGGCUCCAUGAAGAAUGGGGUUUGACCUAUCCUAGGAGGAAGGACGGGCUAAGUUCGUGCCAGCAGCCGCCGUAA
rnacentral:rRNA from 1 species